GUAGAUCCUUUUUUAACUGCUUCCUGAGCAUAUUCAACCUGAAAUAAGUGUCCGUCAGGAGAAAAAACUGUGAUUGCUCUAUCGUAUCUAUCACUCAUUUUUGAAACUUAUCCCUAAAAUGCAGCGUAAGAACGACAGGAAGUAGAUUUAAUAGUUUACAUUGAUAGUCACGGAGAGAAUAAAAUGCUGCGAAACUAGAGUCUCGUCUAGAGCUAGUCCAGAUCUUUUUUUGUUUAUUUGAUUUUAUUUCUCACAAAAGUGACAAACGACUCAAACGUUGUUGUGAAUUACUAGAUCUAUCAUCUUAGACUUAGACUUAACAGGUUCCAAAGAUGUCUACUGCAUUUGUUCCACCCCAUCAAAAGCCAGCAAACCCUCCUCCAACACAGGCUACUAUUCAGAAGAUGCUGGAUGAGAAUACACAGUUGAUACAGACUAUCAGUGACUAUCAAAUGAAGGGGAAAAGUACAGAAUGUAUUCAGUAGGUGAAAUAUUUAGAUGCU
rnacentral:sRNA from 1 species